rnacentral:lncRNA from 1 species
CUAACUUUUAUGAACAUUUAAAUGUCAUUAACUGUUUCCAAUAUGAAUCUGUACAAAUAUAUAUAAGUUGAAGCAUUCAUAAGCAACUCCUGUAAGCUAAGCGGGACCAUUUCAGGAUUUUUGUAAAUUUUUAGAAGCUCAUCCGACAACACAAGGCGCUGAAUGUUGAAAGACGAACACUCAAAAAAGAUGUGAUGUAGUGUUUGAACCUUUUGCAAUUGACAAUAAUCACAAUAUGCUGAGCUGACCAUUUUGAGACGAUGAAGAACCAAGGUACAGUAUUAACUUGGACAUCGAGAGUAUUAAACCAUGAACCCACAUUUUCAUUGUGCACACAAUUAUAUGAAUGUCUCCCCCACGCUUCACACAUGCGUUGCCUUAAGAGACUAACUACAUCUGUGUAAGUGCACUCAAGAUUGCAACAGCUUCAGCUGUAAAAAUACUGGCAUUUUUGUCAAUUUUCAUGCCUAUACCGAUAUUUGAAGUAGGCUCAUAAAUAGCAAAAGAAGCCGCUCUAUCAUUCUUGGAACCAUCAGUAUAUACAAAUUUGUGAUCUGACCACUCUGACAACAUAUUAUACACAUCCUCUUUAGAAGACAAUUCUUUUCUCUUCUUUAUAAUGACAGUUAUAGCCGGAAAUUUACUACUAAAUGAACCUUCAUAACAAGGCAGGAUAUGUUUUGAUUGAUGAAUGUUAAUAUUUUCAAUAAAAGCUUUAAAUUUGUUAAGACUUUGUAAUAUAUAAAAAGGUUUUAAAGUAGUAUGUGUAGCUAAAUGUACAAGAUUGUUUAAAAGACUAUUACCAGAAACACUAUAAAGCUUCAGAAAGAAUCUUUCCAAUAAGAAAUCAAAACGAAUAGCUAGAGGUGCAACAUUACAUUCAAUCUGCAAAGCGUUCACAGGAGUACUUCUGAAUGCCCCAGUAAUAACCCGCAAACAUUUGUUUUGCAAAAUAUUUAAACUAUUUACAUGUUUUGAAUCUGCAACAAAGCAAUAAAAACCAUAUUCAAAGUGACUACGUACUAAAGAUUUAUAUAACAAUAAUAAUAUUUUUGGGUCUGCUCCCCAGUAAGUUCCACUCAAGGAUUUUAAAACAUUAAAACCUCUAUUUGCUUUGGCAACAAUAUUCCUAAUGUAAUUACUCCAGGACAAAUUGUGUGUAAAUAUAACUCCCAAAAAUCUAACUUCAAGAGAGCUGGGUAAUGCACAAUUAUGAUACAACACAGCGGGUAAAUUAUGAUUCCGCUUACCGAAAACGACUACUUUGGACUUUAAUGGAUUGAUAGUGAGAUCAAGGUAAGAGAAGUAAUUGUGCAAAUGUGUUAAUGCAACAUUGACUGUCUCAACUACUUGCGAAAUGUUCUUCCCAGAUGAAUAAACCACAAGAUCAUCUGCAAACUGUAGAUUUUUAACUUGAGCCCCUAAAAUUAAAUUUAAUCUAUGUAUAUACAAUAUAAAUAUUAAAGGUGACAAUAUUCCACCUUGACAAACUCCCUUAGCCGAUAGUCUAGGACCAUAAAGGUGCCUAUUAUAUUUUACGAAUACUUCCCUAUUAUUAAGGAAAUUUGAUAGCCAAUUAAUGAUUUUUCCCGGAAUCCCUAUCUGUGAUAACUCAUCACAUAGAAUAUCUAUAUUUACACUAUUAAAUGCACCUGCAACAUCAAAGAACACUCCAACCAGAUUUUCAUUUGCUGUUAUGGAUUUAUAAAUAUCAAGCUGCAGUUGACAAAUACUUUCACGAGCGGAACGAUUCCUACGAAAACCAAAUUGAUUUGAUGUUUAUUACAGCUUCCGCGCACUUUUGAUUCCACCAAGGAAGCGAAGGUCGCUUAUUACUUCUAAUGCAACAAGAUCUAUUGGAAGAAUGUGCAGAACUGACUAUAGAAUUGGCGGCUGCUGUGCGCAAAAUGCUACAAAAUCUAAGAUAUGUGUCAGUAAUACAUAAACUGUCGAUUUCAAAAUCAUAUAGCAAUUCAUCAACACUACUGGUAUAUCUCUUCCAAUCUACCAAUUUGUAAUUUGGAUAAACAGGCAAAUGCUCAACAUUAGAAGAAUAAUGACUGUUGUUAAUGUAACUAUUAUUGCUAAUCACUGCUUUUAUGAUUACAGGGAUGUGAUAACUGCUACCAAGAGGACAAUCAUGUACGUUCCAUUCACAAUUCAGCGCUAAAGAUGAUGAAACUACUGUCAAAUCCAACGCAUUAGGACGCCAAGUCAAGGAGCCAACAGUAGUUGGUUGACCAUCAUUGAGCAGAACCAAAUUAUUAUCAUCAAUAACCUGUAGAAUACUGCGCCCACGCACAGAGUCCGAGCCACAGCCCCAAGAUGUGUGAUGAGCAUUAAAAUCACCAGCCAAUAUGAAAGGUUCAGGAAUAGAUUUUAUUAAUAGAUCCAAUUUUUCCUUUGAGAAUUGCGGAUUACAAUUCAAAGGACUAUAAAGACUGACUAUACAUAACUCUUUGUUAUUUACUUUUAUUUUAACACAAAUAUUUUGUAAUGAGUUAUCACAGAAGGUUUUAAUUUGAGUAUAAUUAAUAUUUUUAUGAAUGAUUAUUGCAACACCAUUAUGUUUGUUACCAAUAUCAUUUCUUUCAAUAUUAUAAUGUUUAAUUUUAAAAUCGUGUUGCGGUUUUAACCACGUUUCACUAAUGAUUGCCAGAUGAAUAUUGUGUCUAUAAAGAAAGUCAAUAAAUAUAUGUUUGUUACUAUUUAAGCUUUGUGCAUUCCAUUGGACAAUAUUUAAUUCCGAAAUAUCCAUUAACAGGCAGAAGAAAAUUUAUCACAUAAAGUUGAUUUGAGAGCUUCUUUAAUCGACAUUGAAUUAAUGGGUGUUUGUUUAUUGCUUAAUAUUUUCGUAAGUGUUUCCACUAAUGUAUUUAUAAAUUUGUCUGAUUUCAUAAGAUUAUUUAUUUGCGUGUCAAUAUUGCGUGCCGUUAGAGCUGGGAAUGAAUUCACAUUAAAAAGGUCUGAAUAAGUGGC